UGCAAUCUUGGGGAGGUCACCUCUGC
rnacentral:piRNA from 1 species